rnacentral:rRNA from 1 species
UACGUAGGGUGCAAGCGUUAAUCGGAAUUACUGGGCGUAAAGCGUGCGCAGGCGGUUGUGCAAGACCGAUGUGAAAUCCCCGGGCUUAACCUGGGAAUGGCAUUGGUGACUGUACGGCUAGAGUGUGUCAGAGGGGGGUAGAAUUCCACGUGUAGCAGUGAAAUGCGUAGAUAUCAGGAGGAAUACCGAUGGCGAAGGCAGGUCUCUGGGCUGACACUGACGCUCAUGCACGAAAGCGUGGGGAGCAAACAGG